AUGACAAUUUUUGCUUCCUCAGAUUUGCUUUUUAUGUUAGCUCAGCAGCUCCUGUUAGAGCUAAUUAUGAGUUCUUAUUAUUGUCAGGGUAAAGAAGUGGAUACAAACCUCAUCAAUCUGGCAAGUAGUGCUCUGGGACGAGAUGUUGGCAUGGAGAGAAGACCAACAUCAUUUUCAGAUGGAUAUGGGUGGCAGGCUUCCUGGUCCUAUUCCAAGUACAUAGAAGCCUUGGAGCAGGAGAGAGUACUCCUUAAAAUGCAAGAAGAUCUGGAGAAAAAUUCAUCAUCAUUCUUUACAGGUACCUCAUCUAAAUCCUUCAUGAAGGCUAGAAACUCUGAAAAAUCCACUAUUUCUCCGAAGAGUAGCGUGACUUUGGAGAAACGCUCAGAUCUUCCCAAAGAAACAGAAAGCAGAUUAAAAUCUCUCUGA
rnacentral:lncRNA from 1 species